UUUUGUUUUUUUUUUUGGAUUUGGGAUAGACUACAUAGGAGUAUGCUGUACAUAAAAGUAAAAACUAGUGCUUUGUCUUAGUAGUUUUAAGAAAUUACAACAAAUUAAGUUUUCUUGUAUUGAAAAUAACAUGAUUGUAUGUUUUGCAUUCCUAGAAGUAGGUUAACUGUGUUUUUAAAUUGUUAUAACUUCACACCUUUUUGAAAAUCUGCCCUACAAAAUUUGUUUGGCUUAAAACGUCAAAGCCGUGGCAAUUUGUUCCUUGAUGUGAUUGUAUUUCCAAUUUCUUGUUCAUGUAAGAUUUCAAUAAAACUCAAAAAUCUAUUCAAAACAUUACCUAUUUCAAAUUCAAUUGUGUCCUAAAACAUUAUUUCAUUGGUAAUUCUUGUGAAAAACAUUGUUUUCAAAGUAUAACUGCCUAUGUGAGUGAUCAAAUUCAUGCAAAAUUUCCUGUGCUUUCCAACAUGUAGCACUGUGGACAUCAGACUGAAAACUAGGAGAAAAUGCAGACAGCCCAAAAGGCACUCUUUGUUUAAUUGCUGUUCAGUAAUUUACCAGCAUCUAAUUUUAAAACUUUUUUUCCUUUUUGAAAGUGUUGAAUUGUAUCUAAGCAUUCACAGAGAUCUAAUUUAAAUCUAGUCUUCUAAUGUAACGUGGAGAAGGAAGCAGAGCCUACAAUGGUGUUAAUUUUGUUCCUUUGAUUAUGUCCUGUGGAGUCCCUGUGGAGGCUGUUCUGGUAGGAUUCAGCCUUACUGUAUUAUUCAGCGUAUAAACACACAGGGAAAUGAUUUUGAUCUCAAGCAUCUUAGUCUAAUUUAAAAUAAUCUUUGACUAGGAAUGAGAAUUACAACUUGGGUGCUAUGGCACAGUAAACUAACUUCUUGCUAUGGAUAACACAAAAAUACUCUUCAGAUUCUGCUUAUUUCUGUCUUGACAUUUUAAUUUGAUGUUCUGCCAUGAUGAACAAUUUGCCUUAGAAUUCUCCUGCCUUCUAAUAAAGGCUGUUUAAAAAAAAAAAGUAUCUUUUGGGGGCAUUGCUAGCUACAUUAUAUUGCGUUGCUUUGACCCUUGUCUUGGACAUUCCCAGAUGUCAAUUUUAACUGGCAAGUCAUGACAUUACUCUUGUGUUGCAUCUGAGCCAUUCUGUACCCCAAUGAAGAACAUUUGCUUCUCAAGAAAAGAGAGAAACAAACGGAUUUGUACUUUCUCUAAAGAAAACUAUUGCUGGACCUCUAAAUAUCCAAAUCCAAUACAUUGCUCGUACUUGAUUUACAGCAUUCCAAACACAGACUAUUGAGGAAGUUAAACUUCAGUGGUCAUACUCCUCCCUUUGUCUUCUAUUCCUGUCUGGUGUCUCAAGUGUGUUAGGUCAGAGUGUACUCAGUAAGAUGAGCCUCCCCACACCGCUGUGGAUCUGGAAUGGGAUUGCAGGGUUUGAGUUCUGACCUGAGUCAAAGAUGUCUAUCUGCUUCUCAAAAAAGGGUUUGCCCCUGUGUCAGGCUCUUCCAGUUAAUAGAAUUGGUCAUAAAGAACUCAAAAGUACUUUUAAAAAAUCAGUAUCUAGUAUGUUGUUGGGGUUUUCUCGUUUGUUUGUUUUUUGAGGGCCAAAUCCUGUUCUCUCUGUUCCCUACCUGAGCAGUGAACUCAGAGUGCUAUUGCCUGGACUUCAGGCAUUAGCUUGUUAUAAGGAUCUGGCUUACAAUUUUGUUUUAACACAGAGUUUUGCUGCCCUAUCAGUAUGACUUUCUGGUAGUUAAACAACUGUUGUGCUGAGUAGAACCCUGUAGUCCCAAUAAGUACUGGCUUUUCAGCAUUCAUUAUAAAGGGAAUCUAGUACAAGGGAGCUUAAUUGGAAUCAUGUUUAAAUUGCUCUCCAGCCUGGAAGAAGGGUAGUGUUCCUGUACUGCACAUGUUAGUCCAGCAGAGGUGAGAUGCCAGUACAUGGUGUGGGGGGAGUGGGGAGGAAGCAACGGACUUCAGUUUUAGUGCUUACAAAACAACUGAAAAACAAAAAUGUAAAAUUGUCUUCCUGGAGAACUGUAAAGCUGCAUCUUGUAUUUACUUCUUGUAUAAUGGCCCAGAUCACCAUUUAUACUAAUAGUUUUGUUAAAUAUGAGUAGUGAGCUAUACAUUUUAUAGUUGAAAAUUAUAAGAAUUAAAGUCAGUAAAAGUUUAUAUUUAGAAGAUUCACCAAAUUCUUUGAUUUUCAUGGUUUAUGGCUAUUCAAAUUCACCAUUUAAAUUUGCAGCAGUACUUUAAUGAAUCCUUAGAGAUAGUGUGCGCUACAGCUUACUCAAGUAGUGGUGUGUACUGAAGUUCAAGAACUUAAUGAAAUUAUUGAAAAAAAUUACGGAGCAAAGAUACUGUAGCACAGUGGAAAACUACCAUGCCUGACUCCAGGGAAGAAUUUCUCAGCACAAUUUUGAUAUAUAGUAAGAAAAAAAAAAAUUAAAUUUGCUCUUUUGCAUCUGUUGUGAUUGUUUCUUCAGUAUAUCUUAACAAAAAGCCUUUAUAAUAUGUUGAAAAUGGAUUUCAACUUGCACACCAAUAUUCGGCUUUUAUGAGUGUCCUGCUGGCAUUGGAGGAGGAACCAUGAAAUGGGAUUUUAAUAAUCAUUUGAUCACUCAUUUAUAGCAGUUGUUUAAAUGUCUGUAUUGAUAAGGUGUUUGACUUAAGAAGUAGGUUAUCAGAUUCCUAGCAGUUCCAAAAGUUGAGCAAAGUAUUUUUAUAGCUAUUGUGUUAUUAUAGACUUAAUUUCACUUUAUUAACAAAAUCAGUUUACUAAAUUCAUCUUAUGAUUUUACUAAUUAAAGGUUUAAUUUUUUUUAGCAAUUGUUUAUUUUCAGGUCUCAGCUUCUGUAGUGUGAUUAUUAAAGAAUGACAACUGCAUUGCUUAAACCUUUCCAAAAUAAACUCGAAGUAGAAGAUCACCGCAUGAUUUUGGUGACUCUGUAUAAAAACCUGACCACUUUUUACCCCCUCUGUAAUUUGGACAUGAAGCCCAUUUCUGUAUUUUGAACUACACAGAAAAAAAAUACAGAUGGCACUCUUAUUAUAAGGCUAGCAGGGAAGUAAGUUUGAGGUAUUGAGCAAAAAGUCUUAAACCUCUCAGACAUGUAGACCCUCCUGCAGAUGUAUGUAAUUUUCAGCAAGUCUUAUUUGUUAUCCAGAAUACUGGUGGCCCAUCCAUAGAACAGCAAGGACCUGUCCUACAAAUCUGUCAUCAACAAUCUUUGAUCAUGCAUGACUUGAGGUGGAGUGUGUGUGAUUAAAGAUUGCUUGUACAAUGGAGGUUGUUCAGUGGAAUUGUGACAUUCACGUGAACAACGUGAGUAGCUCAGAGCCUUAUAGAUAUACCCAGUUGUGUUCUGAGUUUUUUCUAAAAAAACAACAAAAAUAAAUUAGAGCUUCUGUUAACUUAGAAUUUGAAUGAAGCUGUUGUAGUCUGUUUGCUUAAAUUGUCUUUUGAAACCCAGAGGGGUUAUGUUGAGUGUAUAUUAACUGAUAAAAUGUGGAGGGGGGGGGGAAAUUGUUUGUGUUAAAGGGAAACCUUACACUUUUGGUCUCAUUGAAACAAAAUAGUCAAGGUGGAUCUGUGAUACUUGGUUAUUGAUCACGAACUUCUGAAAUUUUAGAACAGGAGAAUAUCUCUGAAGACAUGUUUUAACAACUUAGAGGUUACCAGAAGCUCUGAAAGACAGACAGUUCAGAAUAUAUUGCAUCACAUUUUCUGAUGUCCAGAAAUCUGCAAGUGUCAAUUUUGUAUUUUAACUCCUUCCUUUUACCUGACUAUCAGGGAAGCGUGAUUGAGGCUGACCUGACAUGUCAUGAUGUCGACUUGCUAGGUGGGGUUCGCAGGGGACAUUAACCUUGGAGUUAUCGCCAGCAGACUUUUCUUUUCCUGAUUGUACAUUCAUACAGUACUUGGAAAGGAGCAGAUGAAUCGGAAAAGCUUACUAGGCUAGAGGAGCAUUCCAGGGUCAGUCACGGUUUAUCGUGGGACUGAAUAGCAUGCCAGUUCUGACACCAGCUGCAGAAGAAAUGUACCUGGUGAGUACAGGUAUUUUGUAAGGAUUUUUCAGAUAUGAAGUAUUUGUUUAAUUCCAGAUAAACUUUGCUCGGGCUACCACAAUCACACAAGGUCAUCAACGCAUCUUCACUUGAAAGAUCUUAAACAGAAAAAAGAGGAUUUCUUUUAACUCUGGAUUCUCCAGUCUGCCAUGGAGCUACUGACAGUGAGUGUAGUUGCACAUGCUCAGGCAGCCUGUCUCUGGAAAAGGAAGCAGAUGGCAAAAUCAUUACAGGAGAAAAAAAACCUCUGAGUGGAUUGGCUUUUUCACAUGUGGAAUUUGGAGAUAAAUGGAGUGGGCCAUGCUCCUUUCAUAAAACAAACAUUCUUCGCUUAUCGGUGAAGUUUAUGAAUUUAAAACACAAUAUAUUUUUAUCUGAUUAUAAGCUGCCAAAGUGCAUUACAUG